CUCCCACUCCCCACACCCACGACUCGACAAGACCCUCUCGCCUCUCCUCGCUCCGUUUGGCGUCCGCCUCGGCUCUUCCUCUGUCUUCAUCAACCACGGUCCAGCUCAUCCACGGCGGAUUUCCGAGGCUGGGUUCUUUUGGUGACCAAUCGAGCGGCCUGUGGCUGGAGGCGCAAGAAGGGAGCGAGCAAGGACAAGAUUUCAGAUCGGGCUAUGCCAACUUUCGGUGACGGCGGAUAAAGAGAGGAACAUUGCCCAUGCUCGCGACGCGAUUCGGGAAUUUUUUUUUUCUUUCCGAAAAUGGGCAUCAAGGUAGUUCCACCUCCCUCUUCUUCAUUGUUGAUUGAGUCGUCCGUUGAUUUCGAUAGGGGCUGAUGAAGCUACUGGCGGACAAUGCCCCUAAGGCGAUGAGGGAGCAGAAGCUGGAGAGCUACUUCGGCCGGAGGAUCGCCGUCGAUGCCAGCAUGAGCAUCUAUCAGUUCCUCGUUGUGGUUGGGAGGAAGGGGACUCAUAUGCUCACCAAUGAGGCUGGUCAAGUCACCAGG